rnacentral:misc_RNA from 1 species
UCUCCGUUGGUGAACCAGCGGAGGGAUCAUUACAGAGUUGCAAAACUCCCAAACCAUUGUGAACGUUACCUAUCCCGUUGCUUCGGCGGGCGGCCCGGGCCCCGCGCCCGGCGCCCCCCGGCCCCCCGUGGGCGCCCGCCGGAGGUAAACCAAACCCUUGAAUUGCAUGGCCUCUCUGAGUCUUCUGUACUGAAUAAGUCAAAACUUUCAACAACGGAUCUCUUGGUUCCGGCAUCGAUGAAGAGCGCAGC